UUGUAGGCCAACAACUGCAGGAGGGCCGGAGUUGAGCAGCCCUGGAAAGCCUACUUCCAGCCACGCCCCCUUCCUGACCUGGCUUCCUGUUUCGUGCCCCACCCAACCUAGCUGUCUCCCUAGAACUGUUUCCUGCAACUCUCCUUGCCUUCCCCUCUCAACCCCACUGGGACCGGACCAGCCUGGACCCAUACCACCCCCUGAAGGGAACGUAAGCCCCACAGGAGGGAUGCCACACUCUUUUCCAGAUUCCACAGGGCCACACAAGCGACCAGGUACAAGUUGAAGCCUGAUGCUGCUGGAAGGAGAGUGAACACAUGAGCGGAAAGGUUAGAAAGCAAGAAUAAGCUGGAUAGGAAGGGCCGGCUAUAGCUGCAGUUGGGACUGCUUGCUGCCACAGUCAACCAGAGGCUUCUCAACACGUCGAGCCUCAUUUAUUAGCUCCAGCAUGAAAUGGGGCAACAUCUCUUGUCCAUUCAUGGGCUCUUCUACCUCUUUGCAUAUACCUCACUGACUGUAGAGCUGAAACUUGGUACAGGUUUUCCUACUAAGGUCAUGAAUAAAUGUAGCAAGUACGAAACCUUAGUAAAUAUUCAGAUUCACCGUCUGCCCCUUUGAAGAACUUCUCCUUGAUUUGUAACAGCUGACUUGCUUUAAUUCACUUCAUCUUUGUUUUGUUACUUUGUUUCAUUUCAUUGUUAUUUGCUUUAUUAUUUGCAUGGUUAUUUGCUUUUGCAUUUUGCCUACUUCGUUUGCUUUUACAGCACAGAAAGUGGAUUGAACUAACCUACCAAAACGUGGGAUGUCAGAAAAACACUGUCCACCUAGUCAUUUAUCAAGUUCAGCUGCAUUCAGUAUAUUAGCCAGUUGCAAGUUGCAGAUACACAUAUGAACCUAUUAAAAAUGUCAUCUGCCAUGCUAUUUGAUUCAUCAUGUUAAAAGAUGCUCUGGUUUGUUUUUGCUUUUAAUUUGAGUCAACAUGUGGGCUUCUCAAAUAAAGAUGGCAGAAAGUAAACUUUA